rnacentral:rRNA from 1 species
CCGGCUAACUCCGUGCCAGCAGCCGCGGUAAUACGGAGGGUGCGAGCGUUAAUCGGAAUUACUGGGCGUAAAGCGUAACGCAGGCGGUUGUUUAAGUCGAGAUGUGAAAGACCCCGGGGCCUCAACCUGGGAACUGCAUUUCGAACUGGCAAACUAAGAGUGUGAUAGAGGGUGGUAGAAUUUCAGGUGUAGCGGUGAAAUGCGUAGAGAUCUGAAGGAAUACCGAUGGCGAAGGCAGCCACCUGGGUCAACACUGACGCUCAUGUACGAAAGCGUGGGGAGCAAACAGGAUUAGAUACCCUGGUAG